rnacentral:rRNA from 1 species
CAGUAGCCACGGGAAUACGAAGGGUGCAAGCGUUAAUCGGAAUUACUGGGCGUAAAGCGUGCGUAGGCGGUUUGUUAAGUCUGCUGUGAAAUCCCCGGGCUCAACCUGGGAAUGGCAGUGGAUACUGGCAAGCUAGAGUGUGUCAGAGGAUGGUGGAAUUCCCGGUGUAGCGGUGAAAUGCGUAGAGAUCUGGAGGAAUACCGAUGGCGAAGGCAGCCAUCUGGCCUAAUACUGACGCUGAGGUACGAAAGCAUGGGGAGCAAACAGGAUUAGAUACCCGAGUAGUCCCUGUCUCUUAUAC